rnacentral:lncRNA from 1 species
AACAACAAAUUGACCAAUUAACUACUUGGGACCAAUGCCCUCAAGUAAAGAUCACAUGAAUCAACUAAAUGAAGCACAACAUCAAGAACCAUAAGGAUACAUAUCAGUUUUUGAUCCUAGUUCAGAGAUUAAAAAGGUGAACCCUUACAACAAACUGUUCAGUUGUACUGCAAGCUACGUGAAACAUAUACUUUGUUAGAUCAUAACACAUGAUCCAAGUUAUUCUUUGCCAUGCAUCUCACUCUCCUUCGCUGAGAAUUGGAACAAUCAGAGGCUUCAGCUGUGCAAGAUAGACGAUUGCCCACCUAACAAGGGAAGAAAAGCGUAAGCAUAGAUGAAACUAACAAAAAUAAUAUUUUAAGUUUCACCUGCUGAAGUAACGAGAGAGAAAAUAUUUCCCCAAGUAGGCAAACUAAACUUCCCGUUGUGCCACUAAGUAUGAAUGAGGCAAAUCUGAUAUACACCUUUGCUAAGCAUCAAAAAUUUUCUAGGAAUGAUUACUAAAAAGGAGCAAAAAGAGUUAAAGCUCAUCUCUUAAGUGAGGUUUCAAGGUAUGUACAUCCCAUGUUAUCACCUUCUACUGGCCCAUUACCAAAUUCAACAACCGUUUGUCUUUGUCAGCAUGUAUUCCCUGUAAUCAUGAUCCUCCAUGACACAUUUGAUGCUACCUAUAGUCAGCUUAGCAUCAAUUUUGGACAUUUGUCUCUGAUGCAACCUAUAGUCAGCUUAGCAUCAAUUUGAUUCACUCAAGUUCUAAGAUUAAGGCAAUUACUCUUCAGAUUCAGUCAGAUAAAGUCAUCUGGCUGUUGGAACCAUAAGGAUACAUAUCAGUUUUUGAUCCUAGUUCAGAGAUUAAAAAGAUGAACCCUUACAACAAACUGUUAAGUUGUACUGCAAGCAACAUGGAAUAUACUUUGUUAGAUCAUAACACAUGAUCCAAGUUAUUCUUUGCCAUGCAUCUCACUCUCCUUCGCUGAGAAUUGGGACAAUCAGAGGUUUCAGCUGUGCAAGAUAGACGAUUGCCCUCCUAACAAGGGAAGAAAUGCGUAAGCAUGGAUGAAACUAAGAAAAAUAAUAUUUUAAGUUUCACCUGCUGAAGUAAUGAGAGAGAUAAUAUUUCCCCAAUCAGGCAAACUUAACUUCCCGUUGUGCCACUAAGAAUGAGGCAAAUCUGAUGUACACUUUUGCUAAGCAUAAAAAAUUUUCUAGGAAUGAUUACUAAAAAGGAGAAAAAAGAGUUAAAGCUCCAACUUAAGUGAGGUUUCAAGGUACAUCCCAUGUUAUCACCUUCUACUGGCCCAUUACCAAAUUCAACAACCGUUUGUCUUUGUCAGCAUG